CUAAUGGCCAAAGCAACAACUGCCUCAAGGACAAGCAGAGGAGCUGAGGGAUAGACAUGGGGUCUAACACAAGCCAGUCUACACAGGUCUCACCCAGGACUACAUGUAUGUGAAAGACUUUCCAGAACAAAACAGAUGUCUUGGAUCAACUGAGCCAGGAAUUUCCAAGGGAGUCAAAGUGCAUGAGAACCUUCAGAGACCAUGACAUCAUGGCAGUGACAUCACAGCCUAACAUCCAGUCAGAAAAGGGAUGACCAUAAUGCCAGCCCUCAGAGGACCAGAACCCUGAACAAGGUGACAGCUGUCCAGCUCUUCCUCACCUGCCGCAGGCUCCAGUACCCUCUGCCGUGUGACUCUUUGUCAACUUGGAAGAGAAAAGGGAAGCAGCAGACACCAAGAAGCACUGAGAGAGAUGAUAGCGAGGCAGUGACAUGCCAGCACCAUUCUUCAUCUGGAAAGGAGAGAACAAAACUCAGUUCCUACCCAAGAGGACCAAACCCUGAGCACAGAGGUGCCUGCCUGGCUGCACCAUGGACUCCAGGCUCCUCCACUGCAUGAUGCUUUGUCUCCUGGGAGCAGGCCCUGUGGAGGCAGGAGUCACUCAAACUCCAAGACACCUGAUCAAAACAAAAGGACAGAAAGUGACACUGAGAUGUUCCCCUAUUUCUGGGCAUGAGAGUGUGUCUUGGUACCAACAGAUCCUGGGCCAGGGCCCCCAGUUCCUCUUUGAAUAUUACAGAGAAGAAGAGAGAGCAAAGGGAAACUUCCCCAGUCGGUUCUCAGCUCACCAGUUCCGUAACUACAGCUCUGAGAUGAAUGUGAGCUCCUUGGCGCUGGAGGACUCAGCCCUGUAUCUCUGUGCCAGCAGCUUGGCACAGCCCUGCAGAGGCACUGACGUUCUGUGCGCAAACCUCUGUGCCCCAGCAAGGAAACACCUCAGAUCUGACAUGCUGGGAGAACUUGGGGGCUGCAGGAGCACUUGAAAAUAGUUCUGGGUUUCUGGACAGUGCAGCUUUGUCCUUUUGAGCCUUUCAGGGUUCAGGCCAAGUCCAGGCAUAGCUCUUCAGAGGAUCGUUCUACAUCAAUAGGUCACUCCAGAAUGACUUUUUUUGACUACCACUGUUUUCUACGCUUCCUACACAUUGUGUACUGCAGGGGUGAAGGGAAUGCUUGUAAUUUAAUAUCCAGAAUUGUUCUCCUCAGAGCAAAAGAUUUCAGUCUGGACUCAAGACUGUUUAUAAUCAUACAGCAGAGAUGGUAGCAUCACAGGAAUUUGCUUUAUGUAAUUGAUGGAGAAGUUGCUGGUAUUUGGGGAAGGUCAAGGAGAGAGAACAUGAUCAAAGAUGGUUGAUAAUAGAGAUAGCACUGCCGGGUUAGUAAAAGGUGUUCUGUGCGGCAUAA